CCUACGGGGGGCAGCAGUGAGGAAUAUUGGUCAAUGGCCGCAGGGCUGAACCAGCCAAGUCGCGUGAGGGAUGACGGUCCUAUGGAUUGUAAACCUCUUUUGUCAGGGAGCAAAGGGCGCCACGUGUGGCGCUUUGCGAGUACCUGAAGAAAAAGCAUCGGCUAACUCCGUGCCAGCAGCCGCGGUAAUACGGAGGAUGCGAGCGUUAUCCGGAUUUAUUGGGUUUAAAGGGUGUGCAGGCGGAAUGUCAAGUCAGCGGUAAAAUUUCGGGGCUCAACCCCGUCGUGCCGUUGAAACUGGCGUUCUUGAGUGAGCGAGAAGUAUGCGGAAGGCGUGGUGUAGCGGUGAAAUGCAUAGAUAUCACGCAGAACUCCGAUUGCGAAGGCAGCAUACCGGCGCUCAACUGACGCUCAUGCACGAAAGCGUGGGUAUCGAACAGGAUUAGAUACCCCAGUAGUC
rnacentral:rRNA from 1 species